AAGUCGUUUUUUCGUGGUUUUUGUCGUUUUUUUGUGGUGUGUGUUAUUUGUUUAGGUAAUAUAUGUCUCUUGAUAAAGACGCAGGUUGCGUUGAACAUCUGAGUUUUAAAUAACCAACAGUGCCGUGGCCUUUUCAAUGCUUUUAUAAAUUUCUUUACUGGCCUUGUAUCUUCUCAGAUCCGACACUUUAAGAAAGUAGGGUGUUGUUGAGUUUUCGUGCUUAUAUAUAUAUAUAUAUAUUUUUUUUUCUGUGCUUCAUAUUAAAUAUUUCUUCACUUAAGGCAGUUAUGUUCAUUUAAGAGUUCAUUGCUAUUUCUGUGCUUAAUAUGAAAUAUUUCGAAUGCAAUGUGUAUCAUGUAUGAUCCUCUUAAAUGUACAUUAAAUAACUGUAUCCCAUUUCCAUUCUCAAUGACCGUGUAGCGUGUGACAGCGUGGCGAGAAUUCCAUCGUCAUCAAAAGCAAGUUUUUUGACUUGCCUAGAUGGUUGAGUGGUGUAGCGCGCUGGUUCAUGCUGCUAGGAGAUUUGGUUCCGCAGGUCGUGAGUUCAACCCCGGGUAGGGGCGGAAGUGGGUAUCCAAAUAAAGUGAAAUUUUCUGUGCUUUAUAUAUAUAUAUAUAUAUUAUAUAAAUGCAGGCUGUCAUUGCUGAUCAAAUCCUCGUCUGAAGGACUUUCUGAAUUACGAUAGAUUUGGCAGCAUACAAACUGUAUCUCUAGACCUGAUUUCUUGAAUAAUUUACAUUUGUGACAGAUGGGAAACAGUGUAUCAUCUUGUAAAAACUCAGUACAAGAAAAGCAUUUUUUUUAGUUUGUUUCAAUAUAUCAAUGAUAUAUUUGGUUAAUAUCACUAUAUAUUUUGUUUCUACAUUGCAAAAAUUUUGUCCAUACAAACACUAGUCCCUCACCUGAGCACUAGUUAAAAAUAACACUAGUCCCUCAUCUGAGCACUAGUUAAAAGUAACACUAGUCCCUCAUCUGAGCACUAGUUAAAAGUAACACUAGUCCCAAGGGCUAUGAAAUCUAGAAGAAAAAAAUUCCUGUUUUGAAUAUCUAAGCUAAAUUCUAAUAUUCAGCAACAGUAUAUUUUAUCAAAAACAAGUUGUGUUCUUAAAACUUCAAUGCCCUCAAAAGUGCAUAUCCCGAAGAAAGGCUUUAUAUGAUAUAAUAUAUGUAUUAACAUUUAAUGAUACGACUAUUUUGGACCUAUCCUAGAGUUUAAACCCUGGGGUUGCGAAAUUCAUCAUUUUUUUUGGUACAUUCUAUUCUGUUUUUCCUAAGCAUGCAUUUACUUUUUAGGUCACUUGAGUAAACUCAGCAGAUAAUAUAUGAUUUGUUUUUAAAUUCUGAGAGUUCAUUCUGAGAGGUCAUUCAAUGUACUUUGUUGAAUUAACCUUAUCCUUGAAGUUCUUGAAAAUUAAGCAUAGGAAAUAAUUUCCUUAGUUGUGUACAGGGCCGUAAAUUAACCUUCAAUUUGGAGGAGGCAGGAAAUUAGGCGGGGGUCUGGGGGCCGCCCAGGCCCCCAGACGCUGAGCACAUUUUGAGCACACUGAACACGUUUCGUGCAAAAUCCUUGAUUCUAGGGCCUUCUAAGAUGUUACUUGACUAACUCAUUCUAAAAGAAAGAUUUGGAAUGCUUUUUAAGGGAGGUAUCAUGUUCUUAGUUAUUGGAAACAACAUAAAUUCUAAUGAACUUUAAAUUUUAAUUUUUUUGGCUCAAAUGUUGGAGGAGGCAGCUGCCUCCUCCGCCUCCAUGUAAUUUACGGCCCUGGUGUAAAACAUUUUUUCUUUAAAAACCCAGUCUAUAAAAUGAAAAACAACAGUUCAUUAUAUAAAUCAUGUUCUAUAUGUGAAGAAGGAUUACGCAAUGUUGUCCAAUAUCAACUCCUUUUUAUAUUUUUGCUGCAGAAACUUUAGCCAUGAAAAUCAAUAAUGAAAAAGAUCUAACUUUAUAUAAGCAUAAAUAAUACUGAAAUUAAAAAGAUUCCACAUGCUAAUGAUUUACAGUCAUUGUUCAAGCUAAUAAAUCAAUGGAAUCUACUCUAAAAGGCAUUACAGAGGUCUGUGAUCUGAUGCAAGAUGCCAAAAUCCAAAAUAUAUCAUUAGUUACAUUAGCAGUAUCUCAGUCUACAGUAUUCCUUUAACAUUGUCAGAAAGUUUGAUGUUUGAAAUUGUGAAAAUUGUGAAACUUACACUACAUGUAUUUAGUGAAGUACACGUGAAAAAUGCCAAGAAAGGGUACUAUGAGAAUAUAUAGAUGCCAACAGGACUUAUUGGUCACCUGAGUAUAAGUUAUAUGUACCAUUAGUCCAAAGGGCUACAAAUCUAGAAAAAAAAUCCUGUUCUGAAUAUCUAAGCCAAAUUCUAAUAUUCAGCAAAAGUAUAAAAGACAUGUUCUUAAUACAUCUUUCUUUUAAAUGCCCUCAAAAAAAAGCCAACACUGGUGAAAGGCUUUACACGAUCUAAUAUAUGUAACAUUAAUUAACAAGAUAUGACUAAUUUGGACCUAUCCUAAAGUCAAAACCCUGGGAUUGCGAAAUUCACAUCAUUUUCUGCUUUUCUUAAAUAUGCAUCUAGUUUAAAACUGUAAAAACAAACUUUAAGAAGUCAUUUAAACGAUAAUGACAAUAAUCAUUAUGAUAAUUUUGUUUAACCCUUUCUCUACCGUAUCGGUCAAUAUGACCGAUAGCGCGUAAAAACAGGGCUACGCAAAAGGAGUGUCUAUAAAUCUUUGAAACUACGGACGUAAUAUAUAUGUUUUAUAUAUCAUAUUUUUGGAAAUUUUCUAUAUUUUUUAACUAUGUAAAAAUCAAUUGAAUAAAUAAAGCCAUUAAAUUAAAAAAAGCAUUUAAAAUGAAAGAUGACUUCGUCUAAAUAUUACGCAACGCUUUGUCGCAAGGCCAUUUCCCCCCUCGGUAUGAUUUUUUUUAUUUUCCCUAUGAAUGCAAUAUUUUUUAUAUUUUUGAGAAGCAUAUAUUCCCUGCUUUCAGUACAUAUAAAAAAUAUUUUUAAUGCCUGGCAAAGUUAUAAGAAAAUAGCAAUUUUUUGCACAUAUACGUUGUUUUACGAUUUUAUUUCUCAAUGUUUAAACAGAUCGGCGUUUUAACUAUAUUUAUAUAUGGAAAUAGGGAAAAGUAAAUACAUUCUGUAAAAGUAGAGGAAAUGUUCUUUUUGAUGGACCCUUAUAAUUCUCUGUAGUUUUUAUAUUACGAUAAAAUGAAAUUGGGACAUGCUGCGCGGUUUUCUUAAAAAUUAGCGACAAAUCGACGUCGCUAACAGCAAUCGACGCGCGUCGCACAAUAAAGUGGUGAAAACUAUUUGUAUUGUCCUUUUUUUUUUUUUAGUAAAUUCAGUACCUGUUGAUACACUAAAACAACAUACAUACAUGUAUGAAAUAAUCAGCCUGGUAUCUCUGCUUUUUUUAAAAAAAAAAAAAAAAAAAAAGCAUAAAACCAAUAUUGGUUUAUAACAGUUACACAACCUACAUGUAACUUCAUAAAUGCUACAUCGGCAGAUUGAAUUUAAAAAAGAUUAAUAAAGUACUUCAAAUUCAAAUAUAAACGUUAUAUUUGUUCGGAAUAGUAAUAAUUUUUUUCUCUGCCAAAGAAAGAAAACAAAAAAGAAGUUCGCCUAUAUAUAGCCUGUAUACUUUUAUUUUUCCGUGAUCCGGAUCGCGGGCCUCGCGGGGUUUUCUGAAAGUGUGCACGGAGAACACACGUGUUUCCGUUUCAACGAAAACAAACACAGCUUCACCGUGACUGUCACAGCGAACGCUUGUAUUUUAUAUCUUUAAAACGACCUGAUGUCAUCAGAAGAAGAUGCUUUGGAUCUCCUGUUGCAGGAUGACCCAAACGAUCAUGCAUUCAGUAUAAAUACGUACAUGGUAUUGACAUCCCAAUAUUUAGUGGGAAGUUUCCAGGUAUCAUCCGCUAGCGACAGUCUACUGACAAAUCCAGACAUGCAUUGGAAGGAUGCUGAUGUGGAGGACACAGGAACACCUGAUCCCAGAACUGUGGCAUUUCAUUCGGGGUGACAACCUGGCUUUCAGUUGAUAUGGGACUCUAUUAUUCGGAAAACUGCAGAUUUUAUGAAGCUGUCUUUGACAGAAGAUUUGGUUUUCUCCAUCUGUGUUGCCACCAACCAUUAUGCUGAGAUAGUCAUAACUAGGGGGAAGGGUUGCCAUAUACUUCCCAAGGAAGUUUGCAGCCUCUCACUGAAGAGGAACUGUACAGAUUUUUGUGCAUUAUCUUAUACACGCCUGCUGUGAAGUUCCAGUCGAUAGACAGAUAUUGGUCAACGCAUGCCCCUGUCGGAACAACUCGUUAUCAAGAAUUAUGUCUAGAAAUAGGUUUCAAGAGGUUGAAUAUAAGAACAUUUUUGUUAAAUAUGAUGCAAGUACAUUUAAAUCUAGUGAUUGAAAGUAAGUACUUGAACAUUCGUUUAUGUUGAACUUGGAGAGGAAAAAUGGUUAGUACUUUUUGAUAACAUUUGAUAAGGUGUUGUUGCUUAGCAACCAAAUAUAAUUGAAUAAAAAUAGAUUAUUUUAGAUUAACAAUAAUUGAAAGAUCUUUGUUUUAAUGUUGCAAUACUUAUUAUAUUUAAUGGAACAUAAUGGCAAAACGUCAUAUUAUUAGAAAAUGAUGGACAAGUAUAUAAAGUACGAAGUUUCCAUUUGAUGACCUUUGAUCUUAAUUCUCUUGAUUAUAUUUUUUGUUAAAAACCUUUUAAAAUGAUUAAGAUCUAUUUAAAGAUUAUAUUUUUAAAAUAAUGUGACAUUUACUAAUCAUCAUGGAUUGUAAUUACGUUUAAAUUGUGUCGAAUGGAUGCAGAAAGGCAAAUUAUGGUCAAAAUUGUACUAUGAGUGUUGUUACUUAGCAACCAAAAAUAUUUGUUUGUCAAUAAAAUUGAUUAGUUUGA